rnacentral:lncRNA from 1 species
AUUUCUGUUCCUGAUUGGUGGCACGUUGCACUGAAUCCUUGAUCCCUGCAGCCUUUCAGCCCAGGGCAGCCAUCAGCACCCAGGCACCCUGGACCUUACAUCCGUCAGGCGGCCCCAGGUGGACCCGGACAGAGCAUGGCCGCAGCUCCAGUGCAUGGCAGUAUACCCUAGUUGCCAGUCUUCUAGUUCUUCCACGUUGGCCUCUGCCACAGCAUGGCAACUGACAGACAGGUGGUGUGGUUCUGCGACCGGCAAUGAUCGCUGACCACCAAAGCGGAGACUGUGGAACCUCAACCACUAGGCCAUCAGGACCGCCCAGGGUGGGCUUUUAACCCCUGCCCGUGCCCACCUGGCGGCCAGUCCCAGCCUAGGCUCCGCUUGCGCCACAAUGGGUCGUUUGUGACGUCGUGCGUUCCCCUCCCCACGUGACCCCAUCCCCGAGAGUUUUGCACAAAAUUCCUCCGCCGGGCUCUUUGCCCAGAGCGACUCUUCCCUAGACGGCCCUUCCCAUUCCAGCCGGCCCUCGGUUCACCCCGCCACGCCUGUCCUUUAUCCCUUCUGGAAUCAGACGUCAGUGGCCUGCCCGUCACUGCGCCACCGCUGGCAGAGGGGUAGCUCCUCCAGCCAGUUUAGCAGCGCCAAGCGGCCUCCCACGGGCCUCCUGCCUCCCGAGGCCCAGGGCGCGGGCUUGAGCCCGAGUCCAGGAGCUGCCCGGCGUCCCCUUGCACGGUGGGGGGCGGGGCUCCCCCUCUGACCACGCCCCUCCGGAGGCCCCGCCCAAGUGCGGGCACGCGGUUUCUAUGGUGACGGCAAACAAGCCUCAGGCCUCCUGUGGCUUCAAGAACCCAGCACCGCCACCCCUUAGUCCCGCCAAUAAGGUGAUCAAGACUGACGGCACAGAUGCCCACAUGGAGUGACCUGGAACACCGAGAAACCGCCCGAGUAGGGCCAGGCCAGGGAGGGGCUGCCUGGGGGCCAGGACAAGGAAACGUGAACUCUGGGGACCCGGCGUGCAGCCCUCAAGAACAGGCAGUGGCAACUGGCGAACCUGGGCUUGAGAUCUAAGGAAGACGAUGAGCAGCAGGACCCCGGUGUUACGUGGGCCCAGGCAGCAGACGUUGGGGAAGGAGGACGCCAGGAGUGACAGGGGCUCAUUCCUCAAGCAGGACCUUGUAGCCGUUCCCUGGGCCGCAGGCCGCCUGCAUAGGAGGGGCUCUGCCAGGCUGGGGGUGUGAGCUGUGGACGGAGUGCUGCGAAGAGCAGGGUCCCGGGACCCACGCAUUGCAGGGGGGUGCCGGCCACAGACUUUCAGUUUAUACAUCCACGUAGUGAAAGGGCUAAGUAGUUGUCGAAUUCUCUGUUAAGGAAACAGCGCCUCCAUCCCCCUCAGUCCAUUUCCUUCUCUCACGGGAAACCAUUUUCACAACUUGGCGCUUCUUUUUUUCUGAGUGCCCCCACGUUGAUUUCACCUCCUGUUGUCUUGCCUGCUGCCUGAGACCUGGAAUCUGUAUAUUUCUCUCUCUCACAUACACACACACUCGGGACAAAUGUGUCCUUUACUGAAUGUAGAAAGGAAUCGGAAGACGGCUGCUGCCCAUUGCCGUGUCUGAAAGGUGCUUCAGAAACAGAAAGCAAAACUCUGACCCUGGAGACAGAGAUUCUCCAGGAAAUCUGUGAGCGAGAAAGACGCCCAGCUGCCUGAUUGGGAUUUCUCUUCCAUUUGCUGUAUUGGCUUUCAAGAAUCUCGAAGGAUCGGUGCAAGAUGCUUACGAUAGAAUAGCAUCUUCAAAAUGCCCGAAGGACUGCUUAGCC